GCGAAAGACCAGCGGUGUUCGACGGUUAUUUCAUGGAACUGAAAAGGGACACUUUUUCAACCGAACACCGCUGAAGCCGUCGACCUCCCCUUCUCAAUCGACAAAAGCAUACGAAUGCCGGCCGUUCGGGAGAUUCAACAACACGAAUGGACUUAACCCAGAUAGCCUUCCCAUGGAGUCAAUCGCAUACCGAAGAGCUGUAAUAGACUUUGACUCCAUGGCGAUUGAACUAUGCGUAUGGGAUCUGAGC